AGUGAACGCUGGCGGUAGGCCUAACACAUGCAAGUCGAACGGCAGCACAGUAAGAGCUUGCUCUUACGGGUGGCGAGUGGCGGACGGGUGAGGAAUACAUCGGAAUCUACUUUUUCGUGGGGGAUAACGUAGGGAAACUUACGCUAAUACCGCAUACGACCUACGGGUGAAAGCAGGGGAUCUUCGGACCUUGCGCGAUUGAAUGAGCCGAUGUCGGAUUAGCUAGUUGGCGGGGUAAAGGCCCACCAAGGCGACGAUCCGUAGCUGGUCUGAGAGGAUGAUCAGCCACACUGGAACUGAGACACGGUCCAGACUCCUACGGGAGGCAGCAGUGGGGAAUAUUGGACAAUGGGCGCAAGCCUGAUCCAGACAUACCGCGUGGGUGAAGAAGGCCUUCGGGUUGUAAAGCCCUUUUGUUGGGAAAGAAAAGCAGCAGGUUAAGACCCCGCUGUUCUGACGGUACCCAAAGAAUAAGCACCGGCUAACUGCGU
rnacentral:rRNA from 1 species